rnacentral:rRNA from 1 species
GGUAACCUACGGGAGGCAGCAGUGAGGAAUAUUGGUCAAUGGGCGGGAGCCUGAACCAGCCAAGCCGCGUGAGGGAAGAAGGUACAGCGUAUCGUAAACCUCUUUUGUCAGGGAACAAAGGCGGGGACUAGUCCCCGGAUGAGGGUACCUGAAGAAAAAGCAUCGGCUAACUCCGUGCCAGCAGCCGCGGUAAUACGGAGGAUGCGAGCGUUAUCCGGAUUUAUUGGGUUUAAAGGGUGCGCAGGCGGCCUGUUAAGUCAGCGGUAAAAUCCCGGGGCUCACCCCCGGCGAGUCGCUGAAACUGG